rfam:Scytonema millei VB511283 scaffold_95, whole genome shotgun sequence.
GUCAACACCCCUGCCCUACGGUGAGGGGGCUUCUAACCUCAAGCCAAGCGGAUUAGUUGACCCGACUCAGUACCUUGAGUACUACGUUAUUGGUAAGUGUUUAAGUUCCUACCUACGGAUACGAAGCCAGUCUGUAGCUCUAGAAAUCGAGGAUUAAACAGGUUUAGAGGGUUAAGCCAGUGUCUUUGAUAAAGUACCGACCAAUAACAUUGUCUAGGCUAACUUUAC